rnacentral:rRNA from 1 species
GACGAACGCUGGCGGCGUGCUUAACACAUGCAAGUCGAACGGAAAGGCCCCUUUGGGGGUACUCGAGUGGCGAACGGGUGAGUAACACGUGAGUAACCUGCCCUUGACUUCGGGAUAACUUCAGGAAACUGGGGCUAAUACCGGAUAGGAAUCCUUGCUGCAUGGUGGGAGUUGGAAAGCUUCGGCGGUUUUGGAUGGACUCGCGGCUUAUCAGCUUGUUGGUGGGGUAGUGGCUUACCAAGGCUUUGACGGGUAGCCGGCCUGAGAGGGCGACCGGCCACAUUGGGACUGAGAUACGGCCCAGACUCCUACGGGAGGCAGCAGUGGGGAAUAUUGCACAAUGGGCGGAAGCCUGAUGCAGCAACGCCGCGUGCGGGAUGACGGCCUUCGGGUUGUAAACCGCUUUCAGCAGGGGCGAAGCUUGUGGUGACGGUACCUGCAGAAGAAGCACCGGCUAACUACGUG